GGACAGUCAUCGCCGAGUCCCCGUACGGCGCGAGCCAGGGGAGCCGGGGACCCACUUCGUGCAGUCCCUGGGGUGAAUCGGACGCCCGCGCGUACGCGAGGGGGCCCGUAGGAGACCUUCCUGCUCCGAACCCGUCAGCUAACCCGGUAGGCGAGAAGGAAGGAAAG
rnacentral:sRNA from 2 species